AAGCUGCCAAGUGUAUAAACUAAUGAGCUCUCACCUGGUGUCGGGCAAGACCUGGUGCUUGCACUUUGUAGAGAAUUGUAACGAGGAGACAUCCAUGAAGAAGACGGCACAUUAUUAUCGCGGACCCAUAUCGCCAUCAACUCGGCUGGUGGACUCCACGCCAAUAAGUGCGAAGCACCUGGUUUCUAUUACGUAAACGAGAUCGUUUCUAUUACGUAAACGAGAUCGUUUCUAUUACGUAAACGAGAUCGUCAUUUUUUAGUUGCUCAAGUAAGAAAAGAAACAUUUCAAUUCAUUUUUGUUUUUUAUUUUUUGUUUUUUUGUCACCGGAAAUGAAUUUUUUGGACAGUGUAAAGAGUAUUGUGAAAUGUUGACAGGGCAUCGGAGCCUGAAAGAGCAAAUACGACUCAGUGAAUUACCCACGAAGCCAUCUUUAAACCGAUCAUGGCCAAAGUAAAGCGAUAUCCCAGACGACGCAGUGGUCCUUGAGUGUGGAGCCGGUUCAACGUCACUAUCAAAGAAAGGAAAUGGAUUUAAGCCUUUCACGGGUAUUGACUAAAGAGUGACACCAACUGGACAAAUCUAGUACAGACAAGCUUGACUACAACCAGAACAAGUAGUAGUGUUAUUGCAUUUACUUUGUCUUUGCAGAAGUGAUAGAGGAAGAGGAACAGUGUUGGUUUUGACUUUGUCCAAAUAAAGUAUUUUUAUGUUACUUGAAUGUGAAAUUCUUUAGAGUACUAAGUAGUGGCACAAAGCAAAUGAGUGGUUUGCUUAAGUAGAUUGUAGUGGUUAAUUGAAGCGUUUUGUAACAUGCUAGAGCUAAACACUUUGAACAGGGUGUAGUCAUCUGAGAGCAUUUGUGUGGAAUGUUGUCUUUAUUUUAUCUUGUGUUUCAGGCCAAAAGAAGAGGUUAAACCAAGUUGUUCCACUCCUAAUGAUGGGACCUUUGUUGAAUCCUGUGAACACGUGGUUGACAGAAGUAGUGUUGUGAUAUGUAAUCUGUCCAUCUUUACCUGGUGUUAAAAUAAAGCUAAGACUUACUGUUGUAAUUUGACAUGAAUUGUUUUUAAAUGUUUAUCUAUGGACUUGAUUGACUGAUUGAAUGCAUGUUUUGUAAAUGAAGUGUUUUGCUAUUAAAAGUAAAAGUUGCUGUUUUUCAGUUCAUUGUGGAAGUAUUCUGGUUGUUUUUUCAACAACUUUAAGUAUUGUGGUUAGCUUUUUUAACUUAGUUUUAGCUUACUUUUACUAGUUAGUUUUUACAUAACUAAGUAACUAACCAAGCCAAAAAAACUAAGUCAAACCUUACCCUUGACUUUGACAAUGGUAAACUCCAUUCAUUUUUGCUCAAUGUAAUAUUUGCACAGUGCGCACACAAUGGUCCAACAACUUUCUUUAUUCUGGAAGGUUUACAACAGUUAACUACAGCUCACAAUGAAAGUGCAAUGGCCAUAAAAAGACUUACUGUUAAGUAUCUGAUUAAGGCACAAUGAAUGGAAUGAGCUGAAUAACACACACACAUACAAUUGCAAGGUUCGAGGUCACUGUUGAUCUCCUAGGAUACACAUUGCACAGCGACAAA